AGCCAUGCAAGUCUCAGUACAUGCCGCACUAAGGUGAAACCGCAAAAGGCUCAUUAAAUCAGUUAUGGUUCCUUGGAUCUUAAACAGUUACUUGGAUAACUGUGGUAAUUCUAGAGCUAAUACAUGCAAACAAGUCCCGACCAGAGAUGGGAGGGACGCUUUUAUUAGAUCAAAACCGAUCGGCGUCCGGCUCCGGCCGGCGCCGUCUCUUUUGGUGACUCUGGAUAACUUUUAGCCGAUCGCACGGUCACAGUACCGGCGACGCAUCUUUCAAAUGUCUGACUUAUCAACUGUCGAUGGUAGGCUCUGCGCCUACCAUGGUUGUAACGGGUAACGGGGAAUCAGGGUUCGAUUCCGGAGAGGGAGCCUGAGAAACGGCUACCACAUCCAAGGAAGGCAGCAGGCGCGCAAAUUACCCACUCCCGGCACGGGGAGGUAGUGACGAAAAAUAACGAUACGGGACUCAUCCGAGGCCCCGUAAUCGGAAUGAGUACACUUUAAAUACUUUAACGAGUACCAAUUGGAGGGCAAGUCUGGUGCCAGCAGCCGCGGUAAUUCCAGCUCCAAUAGCGUAUAUUAAAGUUGUUGCGGUUAAAAAGCUCGUAGUUGGAUCUGUGUGCCACGCUGUCGGUUCACCGCCUGUCGGUGUCAACUGGCAUGUCUGUGGGACGUCCUGCCGGUGGCGGUACGGGCUGCCGGCGCUGCGUAGGGGCUCGCCCCCGAAGCACGCCGGCGUGUCCCGGUCCGCCGAUCCAAUCCCGCCGCGGUGCUCUUCACUGAGUGUCGAGGUGGGCCGGCACGUUUACUUUGAACAAAUUAGAGUGCUCAAAUCAGGUCGUA
rnacentral:rRNA from 1 species